rnacentral:lncRNA from 1 species
AGCAGCUCUGGAAAAGGCUGACCUGAGAUCUUCCUGUUGCCACAGGUGGGGAUCCGUUCCUCUCAGAGGCCCUGUUCCUACAGACACACUGUGAAGGUGUCUUGAGCACAGGUCAUCACCCUCUUUUGGAUCUUCGAGAGAACCUGGCCACUGUAAUGCACCUGAGAGGUUGAAAGCCCUGUCUUUAACAGGACGAUGAGUCAGGGCACAGCAGUGUAAGCCCGUCAUUGGGGAACAUGCCAAAGAAUAUCCAGAAGAGAUCCCUAAAGCAGAACAUUUCAAGAGGUUCCGUUUUCACUCUGGAUGCAAUCGACACUAAAACAUCACUGUAUAGUUCUCAAAAGGUUUUUUUUUUUUUUUUUUUUGGUAAUCUAAAUGAAGGCAACAAAAAGGAGUCAUUAUCCCAGAGUAGGAUCAUCACCCUCUUCAAUUCAGGAAACUAACUCACGGAGAGUGUGUCUCCACCUGGUGCCAUCAACCCAUGGAGGGAACUGCCAGUUCCUGUGAUGGCCAGUGGAGGGAGCGACCCCACUGCUGCUUCUACUUGCUACAGAUUCAACUGUGACGACUGACUUCCUUCACUACAACUCCUCUGAGCAGAACACACCUAAAUAUGAAAAGAAGUGUGUGCCUGUGGUAUGUAAAGCCAAUUAAAUAGUUGGACACGGCACCAGUUCCACCACCCCACCCCAACCCCCACCCCAACCAGAG